CGUGGGUAACCUGCCUUAUAGUGGGGAUAGCCUUUCGAAAGGAAGAUUAAUACCGCAUAAGAUUGUAGUAUCGCAUGAUAUAGCAAUUAAAGGAGCAAUUCGCUAUAAGAUGGACCCGCGUCGCAUUAGCUAGUUGGUGAGGUAAUGGCUCACCAAGGCGACGAUGCGUAGCCGACCUGAGAGGGUGAUCGGCCACAUUGGGACUGAGACACGGCCCAGACUCCUACGGGAGGCAGCAUG
rnacentral:rRNA from 1 species